GCCUGGGUGGCUCAGUCGGUUAAGUGUCUGACUUCCACACAGGUCAUAGCUUUCACUGUCUGUGGGUUCGAGCCCCGCGUCGGGCU
rnacentral:tRNA from 1 species